rnacentral:rRNA from 1 species
ACGAACGCUGGCGGCGUGCUUAACACAUGCAAGUCGAACGGAAAGGCCCUGCUUUUGUGGGGUGCUCGAGUGGCGAACGGGUGAGUAACACGUGAGUAACCUGCCCUUGACUUUGGGAUAACUUCAGGAAACUGGGGCUAAUACCGGAUAGGAGCUCCUGCUGCAUGGUGGGGGUUGGAAAGUUUCGGCGGUUGGGGAUGGACUCGCGGCUUAUCAGCUUGUUGGUGGGGUAGUGGCUUACCAAGGCUUUGACGGGUAGCCGGCCUGAGAGGGUGACCGGCCACAUUGGGACUGAGAUACGGCCCAGACUCCUACGGGAGGCAGCAGUGGGAAAUAUUGCACAAUGGGCGGAAGCCUGAUGCAGCAACGCCGCGUGCGGGAUGACGGCCUUCGGGUUGUAAACCGCUUUCGCCUGUGACGAAGCGUGAGUGACGGUAAUGGGUAAAGAAGCACCGGCUAACUACGUG